UCUUUGGUUUUGCUAGUUUCGAAAUGGUGAGACCACGAAGCAUGCCAGGAAAUUUGAGAUUUUGAAGAAAACGGAACGAUAACUCUUUUGAAAAUGUACCUGGCUGCACGAAAAGACAAAAAAAAAAAAAUAAAAUGACUAAAAUGUUUGAUGAACGUGAUGUGUUGAAACGUGUGAUGUGUGUAAACUUUGGUGUCGUGACUCUCCAUGCUCUCCACUCGAUGCUUUUUGGCGGAUUUGAGGCCUGAGCCAGUCAUCGUAACUACAAGAUGUGCUGCAGUUCUGCUUGUGUCGAGUCUGUCAUCAGUCUAUCUUUUUCACCUGUCAUCACCAAUAUCUCAGCAUCAUCGCCUGGAUAAACAGCAUCCUGUUCCAUUGGAGUAACUACCGUUUCUCUUCUUCCCCCUUUCUUUCAAAUGUCCUCGUGUACACCCAUGUGAAUGUGGGGGUAUUCACGAGGGCACCCUUUCAAUUUCCUAUCCCUGGUGUAGUUCAACUCUUUUCAGCGGAUGGAUGGAUGGAUCACUUGUUGAUUUAUGCCUGACCGUAUCAUCCCAAGCUUAAAGGAUGUUUUUUUUCUUUUCUGGAUUUCGCCUGGGCGUCUCUGCUGCAAUCCCGCAAGGAAAUCUUGGCCAGCAGCAAUCGUCCCGUGUGUUACUUCACCCUGAUUUGAGGCCUGAGCCAAUCAUCGUAACUACAAGAUGUGCUGCAGUUCUGCCUGUGCUGAUCUGUCAUCAGUCUGUCUGUCUCACCUGACAUCACUAACUAUCUCAGCAUCAUCGCCUGGAUAAACAGCAUCCCGUUCCAUUCGAGAAACUGCAGAGAUGUCGAUCGAGUUACGGAUCUCUUCUUCUUCCCUACUUCUUUGAAUAUCUGUGGAUGCCUGGCUGUGGAUUUCCCAGGCUUAAAGGAGCUGGGGCCAUGUAGGCUGGUGCUCUGUAAGCAGGAGGUGAAUAUGCAGGAGCUCUGUAUGCUGGAGGAGAAUAUGCUGGUGGUGAAUAAGCUGGAGCCCUGUACGCCGGAGCCUUGUAGGCCGGUGCGGAGUAAGAUGGAGCCAUGUACGCGGGGGCCAUGGGUUUGUACCCGUAUCCUGGAUUGCCAGCCACCAUCACGACGACCGCAGCCAAGAAACAAACGGCGAAACUCAUCAUGGACAUCUGGUCGUCGAAAUUAUAAAAGGACUUUUUAAAACAAGAUUUGAGAUUUGCAGGAAAGUGGAGUUGGCGGAAGCUAGAAGCUUGCUGAUGUCGAUGCUGAAUCUUACUGGAGCCAAAAUACGAAGGAGCUGGGGCCAUGUAGGCUGGAGCUCUGUAAGCCGGAGGUGAAUAUGCUGGAGGAGAGUAAGCAGGAGGAGAAUAUGCUGGUGGUGAAUAAGCUGGAGCCCUGUACGCCGGAGCCUUGUAGGCCGGUGCGGAAUAAGACGGAGCCAUGUAUGCAGGAGCCAUGGGUUUGUACCCGUAUCCUGGAUUGCCAGCCACCAUCACGACGACCACAGCCAAGAAACAAACGGCGAAACUCAUCAUGGACAUCUGGUCGUCAAAAUUUUGAAGAAACAAAAAAUGGAGAAGUGAAACAAGAUCCGAAUGAGAAGAAGAGGAGAGAUGGAAAGCUAACAGCUUGAAGAUGCUUGAACAUACUAACGCCGAGAGUAUUUAUGCUGCACCGUUUUGUCUUCAUUUGGAAUGGCAUACAGCAGCAAGGUCAAACGACACAAGAAUUAUUUUUGGACGUUUCUAAUGGCCAUCGGUUGUACAUGGCACGAUAUCAAAGAAUCCUGAAUAUGCAGCGCAAUGCAAACGUUUAAGGUGCCAAUGGUGUCCGAAAUCGGUGAUAACAAACAGGUAAUACGCCCAAAGAUUAAUUGCAGAAAUUAUCAUCAUGUGCAGUCCUUGUAUUGAAUAUGCAUAAUUAACCGAGUUAUUUGAUCUGUUAUCAUAGUAGUCAAGUUUAUUUAACACCGGUGAGUAUUACGUUGGAGAUAGACGUGAUUAUUUUGGUAAAGGGUUAUCAGGUUCCUCAUUUGUUACGUCAGCUUAUGAAAUCAAAGUGAAUCGAAACUCCAGCUAGGCCAUUUUACGUCAAUAAAUCAACAUUUCUAAUCCAGAGGGAAAUGAAAAUGAUUGUUCAGAAAAUUCCAAUACAUUGUUGUGCACAAAGUAAUCUGGCAACGGCAGUGGCGCGGGAGAAAAAUGUUUUCUAGUUUGGAGUUCUGGAGGCUUGAAAAUUAGGAAACCAAUUCGGUGUUUGCAUAUUGCCCAAGAUGACUCUACACUUUUGACAACCACAAGCAUUGUCAAUGAUGUCCAGAGGUCUAUCUCGUAUAGAAAAUCGCCUUAAUGAACCGAAACGAGAAAGCUAUAUUGUUGCCUGAAGGGACGAAAGAUAUCAAAUAGGGAGAUUGAGUCGUAAUCGGAGUGGUCAGAGUUCGCCCCCAGUCAAUCCGGUUGAACAAAUUGCGGGAACUUCUUUUGAUUAUUCCAUGGAAAUUUAUUUGGAUUUCGAUGAAGUGCUGCCCAGUUUGGAUCGUGGAGGGAAUCAUUCGUGUGGCUGAUCUGAUCACAUAUGUCAACAUCUGACACUACAUGGCAAAGCAUUAGAUCAUUUCCAGCUGUCAGAAGCUUCUGUUUCAGUUACAUUUAUUUUUCAAGACAUUUCUCGCUGCUAAUUUGAGUUGCUGUAAGGAAAUUUAUUAGUAAAAACUGACAGUAACUGAAACAGCAACAAAGCUCACUUGUUCGCAAUAACAGCAUCUCGACACCAUUUACCCCCGAGUUGCGCCUCCUCCAUUCCUCCUUCAUGUCUGAGGAAACGUGAAAGUCGUGCAGCCGACCGUCAACUAUUUUGUUCAAAUUCAUUC
rnacentral:lncRNA from 1 species